GUUUGGUACAGCCUUCUAAAACGGCCCACCGGCCACAAAUUGUCAAGGCUGAAAAUACCACAGUGUGGAUGUACCUCACUGCCACCAAGAUUGCCAGACAAAGCUUUGCCAGACAGCGAGGUUGCUGUUGAUGGUGCAACUGUCCCAACAGAAGAUAUUACCAUCCCACAACGCAGCACUUCACCAUAUUGGAUCACAGUGACAACUAGUCCCUUUGUGUUCCCCACUGUCUCUCCUUGGUUCACAAUCCCAGAGUAUUUAACUGUCAGUGAACCUGAUGACAUUGAGAAAGCCCAAUCUUAAGGUUCUACGUUCUCCACCAUCAUGUUGACCGGUUUGCCAGAAGGAAACUACAGACAGGAGGAUGUCACCAAGCUGGUGUGGCGUUACGUCCCUGAUCAGACUGUUCAGACUCUGUACUACAAAAUAAUCGUUUUAUCACUGCAGAGGCGGGCCUUUGUGUUUUUUAACAGCUGGGAUGCGUGCUGCGAUUUCGCC